rnacentral:misc_RNA from 1 species
AAGUUCCUCCCAGUUGUGAAAGGCAAAGGGAUGAGCACGGAAGAGAAGGCACAAACCGAUAAAAUCCUUAACAAGCUGAUGUCUCAAAGCUCCCAUGAUAUACUUGAUGUUAACAAGGCUGUAUCGAUGUUCAAUGUGAAGAAGGAAAAGCAACGGAAAAAGGCGAAAGAACACGAGGGAACUUCGACAGGAAAGUUGAAGCCCAAAACAAAAUCUUUCAAGGGCUCUUCCAAGAAGAA